AACGAACGCUGGCGGCAUGCCUAACACAUGCAAGUCGAACGAAGGCUUCGGCCUUAGUGGCGCACGGGUGCGUAACGCGUGGGAAUCUGCCCUUGGGUUCGGAAUAACUCAGAGAAAUUUGAGCUAAUACCGGAUGAUGACGUAAGUCCAAAGAUUUAUCGCCCAAGGAUGAGCCCGCGUAAGAUUAGCUAGUUGGUGGGGUAAAGGCCUACCAAGGCGACGAUCUUUAGCUGGUCUGAGAGGAUGAUCAGCCACACUGGGACUGAGACACGGCCCAGACUCCUACGGGAGGCAGCAGUGGGGAAUAUUGGACAAUGGGCGCAAGCCUGAUCCAGCAAUGCCGCGUGUGUGAAGAAGGCCUGCGGGUUGUAAAGCUCUUUCGGCCGGGAAGAAAUCGCAUAGGCUAAUACCCUGUGUGGAUGACGGUACCGGAAUAAGAAGCACCGGCUAACUACGUGCCAGCAGCCGCGGUAAA
rnacentral:rRNA from 1 species